rnacentral:rRNA from 1 species
GACGAACGCUGGCGGCGUGCUUAACACAUGCAAGUCGUACGGUAAGGCCCUUUCGUGGGUACACGAGUGGCGAACGGGUGCGUGACACGUGCGUGAGGUGAACACAACUUUAGGACAAGGAUAGGAAACUGGAGCCAAUACUGGUAACGUGCUAUUGCUGGAUGGUGGGGGUUGGAAAGCUCCGGCGGUUGUGGAUGGACUCGAGGGCUGUCGGCUUGCUGGUGGGGUAGUGGGCUACCGAGGCGGCGGCGGGUAGCAGGCCUGCGUGGCUGACCGGCCACCCUGGGUCUUAGGUACGGCCCAGACACCUACGGGAGGCAGCAGUGGGGAAUAUUGCACAAUGGGCGCAAGCCUGAUGCUGCAACUCCGCGUGCGGUAUGACGGUCUUCGGGUUGUAAACCACUUUCAGCAGGGACGAAGCUUUUUGUGACGGUACCUGCAGAAGAAGCACCGGCUAACUACGUG